rnacentral:rRNA from 1 species
UACAGAGGGUGCGAGCGUUGUUCGGAAUUACUGGGCGUAAAGGGCGCGUAGGCGGUCCUGAUCGUCGGAUGUGAAAGGCCUGGGCUCAACCUGGGAAUGGCAUCCGAUACGGCGGGACUGGAGUGUGGGAGAGGUUGGUGGAAUUCCCAGUGUAGAGGUGAAAUUCGUAGAUAUUGGGAAGAACACCGGUGGCGAAGGCGGCCAACUGGACCACAACUGACGCUGAGGCGCGAAAGCGUGGGGAGCAAACAGG